rnacentral:rRNA from 1 species
GGUUUGAUCCUGGCUCAGAUUGAACGCUGGCGGGAUGCUUUACACAUGCAAGUCGAACGGCAGCACGGACUUCCGGUCUGGUGGCGAGUGGCGAACGGGUGAGUAAUGUAUCGGAACGUGCCUAGUAGCGGGGGAUAACUACGCGAAAGCGUAGCUAAUACCGCACACGCCCUUCGGGGGAAAGCGGGGACCUUCGGGCCUCGCACACUAUUAGAGCGGCUGAUAUCGACGAAUAUUAUAAUGGUCACUGAAGGCGACGAUCCGUAGCUGAUGGAGAUAUCGACCCAGCCACACUGGACUGAGACACGCCCAGUACUCCUACGGGAGGCAGCAGUGUAAUUUGGAUUACCGGGGAACCCGAUCCAGCCAUCCUUGGCAAGUGAUGAAGGCCUUCGCUGUGUUAAUUUUUUGGCAGGAAGAACGCAUUCGGAGGACACCGCAACUGACGGUAUCAGAAUAAGCACCGGCUGUCCUACGUGCCAGCAGCCGCGGUAAUAUGUAGGGUGCAAGCGUUAAUCGGAAUUACUGGGCGUAAAGCGCAGGCAGUUCGGAAAGAAAGAUGUGAAAUCCCAGAGCUUUAACUUUGGAACUGCAUUUAACUACCGAGCUAGGAGGUGUCAGGUGGAGGUGGAAUUCGCGUGUAGCAGUGAAAUGCGUAGAUAUGCGGAGGAACACCGAUGGCGAAGGCAGCUUCCUGGGAUAACACUGACGCUCAUGCACGAAAGCGUGGGGAGCAAACAGGAUUAGAUACUCCUGGUAGUCCACGCCCUCAACGAUGUCAACUAGCCGUUGGGGCCUUCGGGCCUGGUAGCGCAGCUAACGCGUGAAGUUGACCGCCUGGGGAGUACGGUCGCAAGAUUAAAAACCCAAAGGAAUUGACGGGGACCCGCACAAGCGGUGGAUGAUGUGGAUUAAUUCGAUGGAACGCGAAAAACCUUUACCUACCCUUGACAUGUCUGGAAUCCCGAAGAGAUUUGGGGAUGCCUGCAAGAGAACCGGAACACAGGUGCUGCAUGGCUGUCGUCAGCUCGUGUCGAGAUGUUGGGUUAAGUCCCGCAACGAGCGCAACCUCUUGUCAUUAGUUGCUGCCGAAAGGGCACUCUAAUGAGACUGCCGGUGACAACCGGAGGAAGGUGGGGAUGACGUCAAGUCCUCAUGGCCCUUAUGGGUAGGGUUUACUAUCAUACAAUGGUCGUGGGACAGAGGGUCGCCAACCUCGCUAUAAGCUAACUCCCAGAAACCGAUUGUAGUCCGAUUCCAGUCUGCAACUCGACUGCGUGAAGUCGGAAUCGCUAGUAAUCGCGGAUCAGCAUGUCGCGGUGAAUACGUUCCCGGGUCUUGUACACACCGUCCGUCACACCAUGGGAGUGGGUUUUACCAGAAGUGGUUAGCCUAACUGCAAGGAGGGGCGAUUACCACGGUAGGAUUCAUGACUGGGGUGAAGUCGUAACAAGGUAGCUCUGUUA